UAGGGAAUCUUCGGCAAUGGACGAAAGUCUGACCGAGCAACGCCGCGUGAGUGAAGAAGGUUUUCGGAUCGUAAAACUCUGUUGUUAGAGAAGAACAAGGACGUUAGUAACUGAACGUCCCCUGACGGUAUCUAACCAGAAAGCCACGGCUAACUACGUGCCAGCAGCCGCGGUAAUACGUAGGUGGCAAGCGUUGUCCGGAUUUAUUGGGCGUAAAGCGAGCGCAGGCGGUCUCUUAAGUCUGAUGUGAAAGCCCCCGGCUCAACCGGGGAGGGUCAUUGGAAACUGGGAGACUUGAGUGCAGAAGAGGAGAGUGGAAUUCCAUGUGUAGCGGUGAAAUGCGUAGAUAUAUGGAGGAACACCAGUGGCGAAGGCGGCUCUCUGGUCUGUAACUGACGCUGAGGCUCGAAAGCGUGGGGAGCAAACA
rnacentral:rRNA from 1 species